rnacentral:rRNA from 1 species
GAACGGCUGGCGGCGUGCCGUAAUACAUGCGAAGUCGAGCGCGGGAGGCGGACUCGUCACCCUUCGGGGUGUCUAGUCCGUGGAACGAGCGGCGGAUGGGUGAGUAUCACGUGGGCAACCUGCCUGUAAGAUUGGGAUAACUCGCGGAAACGUGAGCUAAUACCGAAUGAAGUCUUUCACCGCCUGGUGAAAGGAUGAAAGAUGGCUUUUAGCUAUCGACUUACAGGAUGGGCCCGCGGCGCAUUAGCUAGUUGGUGGGGUAAAGGCCUACCAAGGCGACGAUGCGUAGCCGACCUGAGAGGGUGAUCGGCCACACUGGGACUGAGACACGGCCCAGACUCCUACGGGAGGCAGCAGUAGGGAAUCUUCCGCAAUGGACGAAAGUCUGACGGAGCAACGCCGCGUGAGUUGAUGAAGGUCUUCGGAUCGUAAAACUCUGUUGUCAGGGAAGAACAAGUUGUGUUCUAACAGGACAUGACCUUGACGGUACCUGACCAGAAAGCCCCGGCUAACUACGUGCCAGCCGCUGC